rnacentral:rRNA from 1 species
UCUUCGGAUCGAGGGGUCAAAGGCCAGGGAUCCUUCGGGACCUGACGGCUGGGGGAGCGGGCGACCUCCGAUUAGCUAGUUGGCGAGGUAAUGGCUCACCAAGGCGAUGAUCGGUAGCCGGGCUGAGAGGCUGUCCGGCCACACUGGCACUGAGACACUGGCCAGACUCCUACGGGAGGCUGCAGUCNNGAAUUUUUCACAAUGGGCGCAAGCCUGAUGAAGCCACGCCGUGUGCGGGAUGAAGGCUCNNNNNGUUGUAAACCGCUGUCAAGUGGAGGGAAACGUAUGGUGNNNNNAGCGCCAUGCUNNACUGUCCGCUAAAGGAAGCCCCGGCAAAANAUGUGCCAGCAGCCGCG